rnacentral:lncRNA from 1 species
GGAGAAAAUGAAGAACAGUCCUUUGAUUAUUAUCCCCAAAAUCUUGAAAGAAUAGAAUCUAAACUUAAAGAUCUUUAGAUAAAGAAACUCUUCAAGCUGAGAAAAAUCUCGUCAUCUAAAUGAAAAAAUAUUAGGCUUCAGAAACCUCUAGAUCUGAAAUCCUUCAUUUUAGAUCUAGAAGCAUCCUUGAUGAGCCCUCCAAAAUACAAA